rnacentral:rRNA from 1 species
UACAGAGGGUGCAAGCGUUGUUCGGAAUUACUGGGCGUAAAGGGCUCGUAGGCGGCCAACUAAGUCCGACGUGAAAUCCCAAGGCUUAACCUUGGAACUGCGUCGGAUACUGGAUGGCUUGAAUUCGGGAGAGGGAUGCAGAAUUCCAGGUGUAGCGGUGAAAUGCGUAGAUAUCUGGAGGAAUACCGGUGGCGAAGGCGGCAUCCUGGACCGACAUUGACGCUGAGGAGCGAAAGCUAGGGGAGCAAACGGG